rnacentral:rRNA from 1 species
GACGAACGCUGGCGGCGUGCCUAAUACAUGCAAGUCGAGCGAGACUCUUCGGAGUCUAGCGGCGGACGGGUGAGUAACACGUGGGUAACCUGCCUGUAAGACUGGGAUAACUUCGGGAAACCGGAGCUAAUACCGGAUAGGUUCUUUUCUCGCAUGAGGGAAGAUGGAAAGAGGUUCUGCUAUCACUUACAGAUGGACCCGCGGCGCACUAGCUAGUUGGGGAGGUAACGUCUCACCAAGGCGACGAUGCGUAGCCGACAUGAGAGGGUGGUCGGCCACACUGGGAAUGAUACACGGACCAGACUCCUACGGGAGGCAGCAGUAGAGAAUCUUCCGCAAUGGACGAAAGUCUGACGGAGCAACGCCGCGUGAGCGAAGAAGGCCUUCGGGUCGUAAAGCUCUGUUGUUAGGGAAGAACAAGUACGAGAGUAACUGCUCGUACCUUGACGGUACCUAACCAGAAAGCCACGGCUAACUACGUGCCAGCCGCCGCGGUAAGAC